AGCGAGUGGCAGUGAGAUCCAAAUGUUAAUAGGACCUGGCAGAUCAAAUACAAUCCCGAUAUUGGCAGGAAGGAUGCGUUCUUUAUCCUCUUCAACUCACCUAGAGAAAAGAACAGAGAGUGGGAAGAAUGGCAGGGCAAGAAGGGUUCGUGAGGGCACAAAAUGCAGAAGCAAUCAUUGUUGGAAUUGAGCACAAGUCCCGAAAGGUCGAAAGCUUACUCAAACAGUAGGAGACACAGAUGCAACUCCUUAUCAUUCUCAUCAAUACAAACUCUCUUUUUUUUUCCCCUCUGUUGCAGGUAUGAGGUACCGAAAUUGUCUUCUCAUUUCCUUUCUUCCAUCCCUCUACCCUGAAACCCUAGAUUGGUUCUUGCCCCCCAUAAUUACCCAAGAAAAGUUGUUUUUCCCUUGAUUGGGUUAAAUUUUGGAUUGAAUAGAGUUUGGUUUGGAAUUUUUAGACGUUGACGGGGAUGUUCUCUUCAUUGGAUCCUGAGUAGUAAGCCUGUUUCUCUCUCUAUUUUAUUGGUUGUACAACUAUUCUGUAUUGAUCUGUUAUUAGCAUUUUGGUGAUGAUGAUUUAUGGUUUUAACAGACAAAAUACCUGUUUUAAUUA